CCUACGGGAGGCAGCAGUGAGGAAUAUUGGUCAAUGGACGAGAGUCUGAACCAGCCAAGUAGCGUGAAGGAUGACUGCCCUAUGGGUUGUAAACUUCUUUUAUAUGGGAAUAAAACGUUCCACGUGUGGGAUUUUGUAUGUACCAUAUGAAUAAGGAUCGGCUAACUCCGUGCCAGCAGCCGCGGUAAUACGGUGGAUCCGAGCGUUAUCCGGAUUUAUUGGGUUUAAAGGGAGCGUCGGUGGAUUGUUAAGUCAGUUGUGAAAGUUUGCGGCUCAACCGUAAAAUUGCAGUUGAAACUGGCAGUCUUGAGUACAGUAGAGGUGGGCGGAAUUCGUAGUGUAGCGGUGAAAUGCUUAGAUAUCACGAAGAACUCCGAUUGCGAAGGCAGUUCACUGGACUGCAACUGACACUGAGGCUCGAAAGUGUGGGUAUCAAACAGGAUUAGAUACCCUGGUAGUC
rnacentral:rRNA from 1 species